UACGGGGGGGGCAAGCGUUGUUCGGAAUUACUGGGCGGAAAGGGCUCGUAGGUGGCCAACUAAGUCAUACGUGAAAUCCCUCGGCUUAACCGGGGAACUGCGCCUGAUACUGGUUGGCUUGAGUUUGGGAGAGGGACGCGGAAUUCCAGGUGUAGCGGUGAAAUGCGUAGAUAUCUGGAGGAACACCGGUGGCGAAGGCGGCGUCCUGGACCAAUACUGACACUGAGGAGCGAAAGCCAGGGGAGCAAACGGG
rnacentral:rRNA from 1 species